rnacentral:lncRNA from 1 species
ACACACACACACACACACGGCACACAUAAUGCCAAUUCUCAGAAUACAGAUGUGGGAAGACCAGUAAUUCAAGGUUGUCCUUGGCAUCUUUGGUUACAUAAAAGUUGACAUCAGCCUGGGAUACAUAGAUCCUAUCUCUCACACACACACACACAAAAACUCAAAAGAUAAAUUGACUUUCUCUGGUGUGCUCUCUCAUGCACUCUCAUGCUCUUUUGCCCUCUGCUAUGAUAUGAUAUAGCACAAGGGUCCCUGCCAGAUGCUGAUGCCCUGCACUUGGACUUCUCGGCCACAAAAACUAUGAGAAAUAAAGUACCCACCUGUAGCACUCUGUUAUAGCAACAUAGAAUGGCCCAAGACAGAAGUCUUGAAUAGGAAUUAAAUGAAGGGAAGACAUUCAAGUAAUAUUGGAAGCUCAAAUCUCAGGACUUGGUGGUUCACUGGCUGAGGAGGACAGAAAAACUUGUGCAUUGUCUUAGGGUUUUCAUUGCUGUGAAGAGACACCAUGACCAAGACAACUCAUAAAUGCAAAGGUUUAAUGGGGGCUGGUUUAUAGUUUUAAAGGUUCAGUCCAUUAUCAUCAUGGUGGAAAACAUGGCAGUGUACAGGCAGACAUGGUGCUGGAGGAGCUGAGAUUUCCACAUCAGCAGCAAAGAGGAGACUGUCUCCUGCAGGGAGCCAGGAGGCAGCUCUGGUUCCCCAUAGGGCAGAGCUUAGGCAUAGGAGACCUCUAAGCCCAUCCCCACAGUGACACGCCCACUCCAAUAAGGCCACACCUCCUAAUAGUGCCAUUCUCUGUCUGCCAAGAAACACAAGAGUCUAUGGAGGCCAAACCUAUUCAAACCACCACAUGGGUAAACGAAGGUUUGGGGCUUUGACAAACUUUUGGUGUCCAGCUCACUGUUUAUGUUGAAUGUAUAGUCUGAACAGGCUGCACUCUUGAGUUUAAGGAUGGCUAACAGAACUGCAUUCUAAAGGUUAUCUCUCUGAAAUAUUUAGACAUCACUUCUUGGCAAGAAGUCCUGUGACCAGGACUGGAGGUGAGGGUAAGAGUGAACCCAUUUCCAGGCAGUGUUCUGGCAAGGAAGUCUGGAAUUGUUCCCUAGUUCCAGAUGGCCUGGUGAGGGACUUCGGGGGGAGAAGCUGAAAGCAGGCAUCCAACGGUAGAGGAGGGGAAGGAAGCUGUCACAAGUACCAGCUGUGGCGAGCAGCCUGUCAAACGGCGGGUGGCCAGCGAGCCAGAGCGAUACACGGGUCUUUUCAUUUCCUCCCCUUGGCUUUGGACUUCAGUCAGAAGCCAAUUUCUUUUUCUGUAAGCAAAAAAUAUCAUGAUCAAAUAAUUGACACAGCUGCCCUCCCUCCAAAUAAAACAAAACAAAAAGCCCAGGACUCUAUUCCAGGUCUUUGUCCUCCCGAAUAAACAACAAGCUUCCUUUUGAGCAGCUCUGUCCCUUUCCAGGUGGGAUGGACAGAAAUGCUGUCCAGGAGUGGGAGCUUCCUCCCCUCGGUACACCAUGCUCCCUAGCGUAGAGCACUGUAUGAAUGUCGCUUUCGAAGCUCACGCAGAGUCACUGAAGACAGAAGCGAAGCAGUCAGUCUGUGUGGGCACCAGCACCAGACAGGUAAACUACCAUUCUUCUAAAAGCCCCAGAGCACUCAGGUUUGUGACUCAAGAAAUUAAUGCAUUAGCUUAAAUGUAUUAAGUGCACACCUGAGGGGUCAGGACGUGUCCAAGAGUGAGAUCCAGCAGACAUGGUGAUGAAGAGAUGCUACGUCAAGGUCUCAGUGUGUGCAUUUGCUUAGCUAAGCCCAGUGUUUUGUGGAGUCAGGAUGAGUAGCAUUUUUACUCAUAUUAAAAUAUGAGGUCCUUGAUAAAUAUUUUGAGGACCUAUAUUUAUAAAAGGUAUGUAACCUAUUAUUGUUAAUGUAAAAUCCAGGGUUGAAGAAAUGUGUAAUGUAUUUGGGAGACAGACCAUAAAAAUUUAAGAAAUUUCUCUCCCUCUCUUGUUUGUUUGUUUGUUUGUUUGUUUUUGUCUCACUCUGUAACCCAGGCUGUCCUAGAACUCACUACAUACCCAAGGCUACUUUUAAAAGUCUGAUGAUGCUCUGCCCUUUGACAAUUUAUAUAGGAUUGAACUGCUCAUGACUGGAGAGUAGUACAGACCGUGGUGAUGCAGGGCCAAGGACGCAGAGAAACGUGGAUGGAACUAAGCUUAUAAGAAAAGUCUUUGCAGAGAGGCCAGCCAUGCGGGCUCAGCUCUGGUGUGGAUAUGUAGAAUGUGGCUAGAGAAAAUGAUUACUAAUUAUGGCUUGUUGCUCUUCCAACUGAAUAGAAUAUCACACUUAUCAAAUUAUAAUUCAUAGUUAGAAUAUGUAAUCUUCACUUCAGAAAAACCAUUCAUGUUCCUAUCAGAAAUUGAAACCCUAAACGAAAGACUUAGUGCUUGCUCUGUGGGAACUGCUGUCUCCUCCUCUCCAGAGCCUCUGCCCUGCCUGACUCUCUCUCUCCUCCUGGCUUCCCUGUAUCCCACCCACCUUCGGUGACUAUUAUUAAAUGUUCACUAAUUUCCAACCAGUUGACACAUAAAGAAUGAGUGGAUUGUUUCAUUUUUUUUGUUUCAACUCUGUAAAUUUUAAAUAGAAAUUCAGUAACCUCUGACACACUUCCCACAUGUUAGAGGUUUUGUAGCAUCUUUCUCCAAUUUCUGGCUUUCUGUUGACUCAGUUGCUCCAGAAAGCAAUUUUCAGAAUGCUGGGGAUCUCCUAUGAGUGAGUGGUUGACAGGACAACUAAAAUACUUUGCAAUCACUGUGAGUGAAUAUCAUGGCUGGCAACCACAGGCAGUUUCAGAUGCUUCCUCUAACUGAGUUCAGACACCAGUAAGACUGCUUCUGCCUUGAAAGGACCAUCUUCAUAUUAGCAAGAAUGAAUCCUAUCCUCCUUUGUGACCCUAAAUCAAGAGUCUUGGCUUUCUCCUAUACAUGACAGGUUAUACCCAUCUUUAUCCACCAAUAGAUAUUCAAUUUCUCAGUGUCUUCGUACCAUCAUUAGGAAUGUUAAAGCUCAUUGUGGUUGAAAUGGCUUUUCUCCCUAGCUGAAAAGACAUUUUUAAAAACUUUAGCUAGGUGCCAGCACUGAGUCAGGUCAUGGAACAAAGGAAUUCAUGAAAAGGGCAUC